ACUCCUACGGGAGGCAGCAGUGGGGAAUAUUGGACAAUGGGGGCAACCCUGAUCCAGCGAUGCCGCGUGUGUGAAGAAGGCCUGAGGGUUGUAAAGCACUUUAGUCGGGGAGGAAAGGUAGCAGGUUAAGAGCUAGUUACUAUGACGUUACCCGAAGAAUAAGCACCGGCUAACUCUGUGCCAGCAGCCGCGGUAAUACAGAGGGUGCGAGCGUUAAUCGGAAUUACUGGGCGUAAAGGGCGCGUAGGCGGUUAUGUAAGUUGGAUGUGAAAGGCCUGGGCUUAACCUGGGUAUUGCAUACGAUACUGCAUGGCUAGAAUACGAGAGAGGUAAGUGGAAUUUCCGGUGUAGCGGUGAAAUGCGUAGAUAUCGGGAGGAACAUCAGUGGCGAAGGCGACUUACUGGCUUGAUAUUGACGCUGAGGCGCGAAGGCGUGGGUAGCGAACAGGAUUAGAGACCCUGGUAGUCCACGCGGUAAACGAUGAGAACUAGCUGUUG
rnacentral:rRNA from 1 species